CUGUUUACCGUACCCUGUGAUGUUGUGACACUUCUUCGGUGCACCCAGGUAUGCAGUUCCUGUAAGGGGAGGAAAUAACGGGUGAGGGUGAUGGCAUUAGGGAUGGGGAGGUUACUUCGGGUGGUGUAUUCCCAGUUCCCAGACGGCAUUCAGCCAUAAUGUUGAGGAGACGAGAUGUAAAGAUGGGGUAGCAAUGGCGCGUUUGUAUGAGGUAUGCCCUUGGCAGUGGCUCAGGUUUGCUUGUCACGCGCAGUCCUCACGGGAGUUAUCGGGAGCAGCAGUCAGGGGGGGGGGGUUAGUUUCGACUGGGAAAGGCCCCAUGCUCUAAGAAGGAAGAGCUUGACGAGGGGAUUCCAAAUCCACUUUCAGAGUUUCAACCAGGGUAGUAAUUGCAAAGUUAUGGGCGCUCAAAGUUCGGGGUCGGUCGUCGGGGUUGGGUGAAAGGGGGAUCCAUUCUCAAAAGUUGGGUGGGCUCAUCUUUGAUCCCCAAGGUUUCGUCACGCGGAUGUGGGUGGGACUGCCAGAUUUCGUCUCCGUGCCCAAAACGCCCCUCUGAACGCGCCGCCCAAUAGCACAAGCGCUAGCACACAUUAGCAGCACAUACUAAAGCAUUUGCAGAACGUUUGGCCUCUGGAAACCGGCCGCAUGUCCAUCCACAUCAGCAUCGUAGUAGCGUAGAGCUCCACUCAAGCGUCUCUCAUUGAUGUCAUGGAGACUAUGCGAAGUGAUGCUAAUCUGUAACGGCCAAGGCUUGGUGUGGGUCAUGGCGACAAGGCUGCCGCCGGCCAUCGGUGCUGGCGACCGCGUCACAUUGAUCCGGGGGUGCUUCACAUGAUCCCGGGAGAAAGUCGACCAAUCUCGUCCGGCACACAAUCCCGAACAACAUAUGGACAGCGCACUUGUAAGCUUAAGCGCACGCCCCGGUAGUCUGACAGAAGGGUCGGUGGUCGGCCAUGGACACAAGGACAUGUGUGGCACGGCUGCCAGUCAAAGAUGAACUGAAGGUAUACAUUUGUAGAGCUCGCCGAGAGCAGUCGAUUGACACCGACCUGACCAAAUUUUGAGUGUGUGUUGAGGGGGUGCACUGUGGUGGGGGUCGUCGGUCGGUCGGUCCGGAGGGGGGGGUCGGGAGGUUUUGGGUCAUGGAUGCGGAUGUUACAGAGGGGACAGUCCCAGCACCCGAAGACGCCGAGCCAUCACAUGCUAUCAGGGCCCAACCCCGACUUUGCUGCAUACCCUCCCGCGGGCAAAGGGUCAUGGGGUCCAAAUAUUUCCCCCCCCCCCCCCCGCCCUGAAACCGUAAACCCGUGCCGCCUGGUGGUUCAGGUGGUUGGCCCAGGGUUGGCCCGACCGACCGCCAUCCACACGGCACUCAAGCCUGUCAUGCUCGCGAGGAGAACUUGGCAGUGUGAGAAUGAGCACCACGUAUUGGCGCGGCAGUGCGGGCGGAAUAAGGACGGCCGAAUUCCACUCCGGCCGGCAAGUCCCCAGGGAUUGCGUGAGUCCCAGCCCCUAGACUAUCGAAAUGGCAUCAUGAUACAUAUAUGAAGGCCUCUUUAUCUGGUUCCCGGGCAUUCAUCCGAGCGAGAGCCGAAGUCGAAAUGCUUAAUGUCGCGCUCGUCAGGAUCCCACCAAUUCAGCCCGAAGCUAACUAGUUUACACCCAUACGUGCAUCGAAUUUACGGCACUAAAUCCAGGCCCAAAACACUGCGUAUGCGAGAUAUGGGCUCCACUCAAUUUGGGCGCCGACCAGCACGUUUUAGUCCUUUGCCUAGCCCUAUCGCCUAUCGAUAGUGUUAACAAUAAAGCCACUCACUGAGUGCGUCUGAAUCUCACCCUGCAUUUUGCCCCUACCUGGUGCCGUCCUGAGGCCUCCGCCGUGCUGGUUUGGCUAGCUGGGGAGGGCUGGGGAAAGGCACCCCCAGACGGCAGUGUCCCCCAACGACUCUACCAUGCGAUGUCGAAAACCGUUGGAGGAGAGUUGCUGCGGUGGUUUCGGUCUUCCCAAAGUUUGUGCAAUUUUGGACUCAGCCUGGGCGGGGAGGCUUGGAGGUGGCGGGGAGGUGGCACCUAGGUGAGUCAACCUAGGUCCAUUGGCCAACCGCCCGCCGUUCGGUGAACAUCUACGCGCGAAUCGAUCUGCGACGCAUGUUUAAAUUUACUGCAACUGCUUGUUAUAAGCAUACAGCUGGCGGGUCGGCAGCCUCGAGGCCAGUCCGCAGCACAAUCAAAAACCUACCUCCUCGGUAGCUGCAACACGCGCACAAGACGAUGCCCUUACAAGGCAGAGCGCCAUGAGGCCCCUUAUCGACAUUCAGCUGCUGUUCUUGUGCUUCCUCAUGCCGCCCGCGGGCAGGUGCGCUGCCCGGUGUUUGUCAGCAGCCCUGCUUGGGGACGCGUAGCAUGACGCACAACGCAACAGCACUGGCAUAAUAAUGGG
rnacentral:lncRNA from 1 species